UGCGUAGGGUGCGAGCGUUAAUCGGAAUUACUGGGCGUAAAGCGUGCGCAGGCGGUUCGUUGUGUCGGUGGUGAAAUCCCCGGGCUUAACCUGGGAAUGGCCAUGGAAACUGGCGAACUGGAGUGCGGCAGAGGGGGGUGGAAUUCCGCGUGUAGCAGUGAAAUGCGUAGAGAUGCGGAGGAACACCGAUGGCGAAGGCAGCCCCCUGGGCUAGCACUGACGCUCAGGCACGAAAGCGUGGGGAGCAAACAGG
rnacentral:rRNA from 1 species